UAUAUGAAUUAUUUUCUCUAAAAAAAUCUGCAAUAGCGCUUUGUGUAUGCAUAGGAAUGAAUUUUAUUUUAAUGUGUUACGGCAGUUCUUUGUAAAUUUUUUUUUUGUAAAUACUGUUUGUGCACAUAUUUAGAUAUUAUCAUUUCACUUCUAUUUGCCAAAAACUUCGAUUAUGUACAUAUUGGCACACAGCCCAGGGAGAAAAACGCUUGGCAUCCCUUGAAUCUGUGUUAGCAUGUGUUAUAACCAUUAGAAGUCGCUCUUGACCAAACCAAUUUGGUUUAUGCCAAGAACGAUAGAAACAAAAAUUUUGUAGGUAGGAACGUGUAUGGGUUUGCCAUUUCAUUUACAUGGUGCAUUUUCUUUUAGAUUAAUAUGGAUUCACCUCAAUUUCGUACAGUUUGUCAAUUCUGCGAAAAGAAUGCAUUUAAAUAUACUUGUCCAAAAUGCAAUGCGUUGUAUUGUUCUAUCAGCUGCUAUAAGACUCCAGAACACUUGAAAUGUACAGAAGCAUUUUAUAAAUCUUGUAUACAGGAAGAACUAUCAACAGAUGAUUCUAAUGACAUGAAGAAUAUAUAUGAAAUAUUGAAGAGUAUACAUGAGACAGACGCUGGAAUAGAGCACGAUUUUAAUACAGGGAAAACGGAAAGUGAUUUAGAUGAGGAUGAUGUUUCUGAUGAUGAUGAUAACGAUGCCAAUGAUAAUGAGGAAGAUCUUGAAGAUAUUGCGACACGUUUGCAAAAUGUUGAUAUAAAUGAUGCGGACGAAGUCUGGGAACAUUUGUCAUUGAGUGAGCGUGCUGAAUUCAAAAAGUUGAUUGAUAACAAGAAAAUAAUGGAUUUAGUGCCAGAGCAUAAACCGUGGUGGUCUUUAAAGAAAACAAAAAUAAUAGAGAUAAAUAGCACCAAUAAUGAUACUCUUGUACCUGAAAUUGAGAAAAAUAUACCAAAAUUUUCGAGUAUUUUUAGUAAAGCGCCAUCACCGUGUUUGCAUUAUAAUUUAUGGAAUAUAUUGGCCUCAUAUGUAAUGAUGGUACGUCACUUCAAUGGCGAACAUUUUAUAAACCCAAUUGAAGCUGUUGCACAUUUGGUAAAUUUAAGCUUAACUUUGAAAUUUGGAACAAAUUUUGAGAGCGUCGACAAUGCUCUUAGAACGGUGGAAAUUGAAGCGCUUAAUACGAACGAUGUUGGCCUAGAAAUGUCAGAAAAUUUCGAACCAACUUAUUCGGUAUCAUUAUGCUCUUUACUAAAACAUGAUGCCGAAUCCGUAAUGUCGUCCUGCUAUAACAAACUAGCAGCACUUAGUGACAUAUAUCGUUUAAUAAAGAAGGCCACAAAUCAUUUGAAAAUAAGUAAUUAUAAAAAACACAGUGAUUUUUUCAAAUUAUUUGCCGUAUGUAACGGAAGUGUUGUGCUGGAACGAAAAAAAUUGUUGCAGUUAUCAAAAAAAGUUGAGUUUCUGUUAUCUUACGUUAAUAUUGACAACGAAGAACUACUAGAGUAGUACACUAAUUAAUAAUCUGUGUAAUAAAACAUAUACAUAAUAUAUGCAUUUCUUACAAUGAAAAAUGAAUUGAUUGUGUAAAUUCAACUCCUGAAAAUUAAUUAUAUAUUUUUAAUGUUUCUAACGAUAUAUUUCGCAAGGCAGUAUAUAUUGUCUUGAUAAUUUUAUUGCUGUCAAUAUAACGUUGCAUCACCGCAUUCAAGUAUAUCCACCAACUAGCUCAUGUACAUAUGGCAAUGUGGCUAGCAAUAAUUUUGUGUGGACAUUUGUUAUCUGGAUAAAAUCAUUUGCCAUUUGACGUUGGACAGGUUUGCUUAAUAUAUUGAAACACUGGCAUCCCAUAUGAAAUCAAAGCUAUCUGUUAUAUCCAUUAGAGGUCGCACUAUUGUUUUAUGCGAUAUAUACCCAUGUCGUGGAUUUAUGGCAUUUUAUGAAGUUGUUUACAAGUCGAAAUAUUUUUUUUUGUUUUGUGAUUUAUUUCAUUUGGUUCAUCCUUCACUUGGAAAAUUUGUCUCACGUUAAAUAUGGAUCUAGCUCACGAAGUUUGUCAAUUCUGUCAAAAGGUUGAAUUCAAAUAUACCUGCCCGAAAUGCAGUGCAUUGUAUUGUUCUAAGAUCUGCUUUAGGAAGCCAGGACACAAGAAAUGUACAAGUUUAUUUCACAACAUCUUUCGCCAAUCUUCAUCGUAUAGUCAAAUGGAGCGUAAUGAAGUUAUGAUGAGAUAUAUGAUUUUGAGAAAAAUGCUUGAAGUACGGAAUGGAAGCAAAAAGGAAAGAACAAAAAGUGAGAGUAGUAACGAAAGUGAACGUAGUUUCUGGACUGGGGAUGUUGGUAAUAUUGGAGAUGAUGGUUUCUAUUCUCAUAUUGGUGAUGAUUCUUUUGAUAUUUGUGAAGAUUCUAAUGAUGAUUGUUAUGAUUCUAAUAUUAAUAAUUUAAAUGAUGGUGGUGAUGACAUUGAUGAACUUGAUGAUGGUAAUGAUGAUGUAGAUGAUGACGAUGAUUCAAAUAGUGAUAAUUUUGAUGAUAAUGAUGAUGGUGAUGACGCUGAUGGUGUUGAUGAUGAGGAUGAUUCAAAUAGUGAUAGUGAUAAUUCUAAUGAUAAUGAUGAUGGUGAUGACGUUGAUGCUGAUGAUGCUGAUGAUGAUGAUGAUGAUGAUAAUGAUGAUGAUUGUAAUAAUGAUGUAGAUAAAUGUAAUGAUAACGACGAUGAUGAUGACUUUAAAGACGAUUCGACUAAUGAUGAUAACGAGGAUGAUGAUGAUGACGAUGAUGGUGAUGAUGAUGAUAAUAUUGAUGACGAUUACGCUGAUUAUGAUGGUGAUGACGUUGAUGAUAUUGGUGAUUUUGAUAAUUUAUGUUAUUAUAUUGUUAGCGAUGAUAUACUCGAACUUGCAAGGCAAUUUUGCUAUUCGCUGAGAGCGCGGAUAUUAGAAAGACGAUCGAAAGUAUUAAAAGCAAGAUUUGAUUUAUACAACAUACCCUACUGAUUAUAGACAAAGUAAUCAGUUUUUUUUCGAAGAAUUUCAAUAUUUUCAUACUCCAAAACUUGCAAAAUACUAAAUUCAAUUGUGGUUGCAAUAAGAUUUUACCUAGCCCUACAGGUAUGGUAUAUCAAGAAAUUUCGAACGACCUGGUGUUCUAUUAAAAAAAAAAGUGCAGGACUGUCUAAUACGUAAGAUUACAAUUCAUAAUAUUUUUGUAUUAUUUAUCAUUUAGGUAGUAACGGAUAUUUAUAUAGUUAAUAAAUAAGUCGAUUAAUUAUUAUACUUUAAUAUUGAAAAUAUCCCUUGUAUUUGCACCUGAAAACUUAAGGAUAAUGAAUGUUUGUAUAUGUUUUAACGACAAAUAAAGACUGAUCUACAUUUA